AUUGAACGCUGGCGGCAGGCCUAACACAUGCAAGUCGAACGAGUGGCGGACGGGUGAGUAAUGUCUGGGAAACUGCCUGAUGGAGGGGGAUAACUACUGGACACGGUAGCUAAUACCGCAUACCAUCAGAUGUGCCCAGAUGGGAUUAGCGAGGUGGUGGGGUAACGGCGAACCAAGGCGACGAUCCCUAGCUGGGCUGAGAGGAUGGCCAGCCACACUGGAACUGAGACACGGUCCAGACUCCGACGGGAGGCAGCAGUGGGGAAUAGUGCACAAUGGGCGCAAUCCUGAUGUAGACAUGCCGCGUGUAUGAAGAAGGCCUUCGGGUUGUAAAGUACUUUCAGCGUGGAGGCGUUACCCGCAGAAGAAGCACCGGCUAACUCCGUGCCAGCAGCCGCGGUAAUUC
rnacentral:rRNA from 1 species